GCUUGCUUUCUUGCAAACAUACGCUUUCAUAUCCCAAUUCAAUUUGUACAUUUCUGUUCUUUGUUUCAUGUAUUGGUUUGUUCGCAUAAAUAUAUUUUUUUACCAAUCACACUCUAGAUUACUCAUGUACGACCUCUAGCGGCCAGAAUUACUAAUGGCAGUUUUAAUAGUAUAAAACUUUUCACAUACUAUUUCAUUCACCUGCACUCUAUUAUCUAAUUAGGGUUUUUUAGUCGAACGAGGACUAUAGGCUACUCUUAAUGUCGUUAAUACGAUAAAACAAAUGUAUAAGUUUCUUAUGUAUUAAAAGGAGUUUAAUCUUUGUUAGGUUUUUC